AUUGAACGCUGGCGGCAUGCUUUACACAUGCAAGUUGAACGGUAACAGGUUAAGCUGACGAGUGGCGAACGGGUGAGUAAUGCAUCGGAACGUGCCCGGUCGUGGGGGAUAACGCAGCGAAAGCUGCGCUAAUACCGCAUACGAUCUGAGGAUGAAAGCGGGGGACCGUAAGGCCUCGCGCGAUCGGAGCGGCCGAUGUCAGAUUAGGUAGUUGGUGGGGUAAAGGCUCACCAAGCCAACGAUCUGUAGCUGGUCUGAGAGGGCGACCAGCCACACUGGGACUGAGACACGGCCCAGACUCCUACGGGAGGCAGCAGUGGGGAAUUUUGGACAAUGGGCGAAAGCCUGAUCCAGCAAUGCCGCGUGCAGGAAGAAGGCCUUCGGGUUGUAAACUGCUUUUGUACGGAGCGAAAAGGUCUCCUCUAAUACAGGGGGCUCAUGACGGUACCGUAAGAAUAAGCACCGGCUAACUACGUGCCAGCAGCCGCAGUAA
rnacentral:rRNA from 1 species